GUCUCCGGCCUUCAAAACCCAUAACUCUUUCUCUCUUCUUUCUCUCGAGCCCCCUAUCUCUGGUUUCCCUCUCUCUUUCUCUCUCCCGAGCCCCCUAUCUCUGGUAUAUUUUAUGUCCGAAUUAUAUAUCAAUUUCUAUAUAUAUUCAUGUAUCACAAGAUGGUUGUGUGUGCUGAUUUGAUAUGCGGUGCAAAGAUGUGGUGAACACCAUGGAAGUGGGGAACGAAGCGAUCUCAUCCAUUUGUUUAAGUCUGGUACGGAAAUGAAAACAUCAUUUAUGUUUCCUCGGGAAGUGAAGUCAAGAGCUUUGAUGUCCAUCUGGCCUUCUCUUGGAAGCCGUUGGAGACUUAUGAAUAUAAUAAGGAUGAGAUAAAUCAGAUUGCUUGCAACUUCAAGUCUUCUUUGCUUACAGCUGCAGAUGAUGGUGGCAAGAUCAUAGACAUUAGCCAGAAAUGUCUCUAUAAAACAUUGAGAGCUGGCCAUCAGGUAAGAGCAAUCCAUACUCAAAUGGUGAGAUGAAUUUUUUGCGUGAUCAGUAGAUUGAAUUCGUCUGAACACAGGACAAGAGCUAUUAUCAUGAUCAAUUUAUGUUUUUGUUUAUAUUUUACACUAUAACCAAUUACUUUCAUAUAACUAACGAUUAAGUAAGUUUGAGUACGUAGUUUGUAUAUAUUUCAGUUUUUGUUCAUUUUCAAUUUAUGUUUAUACUUUAUUCUAACUAAUUGUGACAAUAUAUAAAUUAGUAAAAAUUAAUUAUUGCAAGGAAAAAAAUAUUUUUUUUUAUUUUUUUCUUUUUUAUUUGCAAACCAAUGACGGGCAGAAACUGUCGCUAAAAAAUAUGAAAUUUAUAAGUGAACUGAAAAUUUUACUAUAAGCGACGGUUUAAAACUGUGCCUAUAACACUAUAGGCGACAGUU